GACGAACGCUGGCGGCGUGCUUAACACAUGCAAGUCGAACGGAAAGGCCCUGCUUUUGUGGGGUGCUCGAGUGGCGAACGGGUGAGUAACACGUGAGUAACCUGCCCUUGACUUUGGGAUAACUUCAGGAAACUGGGGCUAAUACCGGAUAGGAGCUCCUGCUGCAUGGUGGGGGUUGGAAAGUUUCGGCGGUUGGGGAUGGACUCGCGGCUUAUCAGCUUGUUGGUGGGGUAGUGGCUUACCAAGGCUUUGACGGGUAGCCGGCCUGAGGGGGUGACCGGCCAAAUUGGGACUGAGAUACGGCCCAGACUCCUACGGGAGGCAGCAGUGGGGAAUAUUGCCAAAUGGGCGGAAGCCUGAUGCAGCAACGCCGCGUGCGGGAUGACGGCCUUCGGGUUGUAAACCGCUUUCGCCUGUGACGAAGCGUGAGUGACGGUAAUGGGUAAAGAAGCACCGGCUAACUACGUG
rnacentral:rRNA from 1 species